UAACGGUAUGUCUUUACAAUCUGUGGUCCACUAUGACACAAAAAUCAUUUAGCUCAAAUAAUCUAAAUUUAUUAAAUAGAUUUCAGCAGAAUCAAACAGAAUUCCUGCUGUCCAACACAAUUCAGACUGGGAAGCUGUCACGGAUGUUGUUUCUUUAUCUAGAGUGUUCCCCAAUAACAUGGCAACUCACUAAAACAGCAAUUGUAUUUGUUGCUGAUGUCUGGAGGAUUUUGAUGUCCUAUGAUUUAGAUCAACACAAAUAAGCAUGGUAACGAAUUAUACAUUCUUGGAAGUUUCAAUAUUAGCAGCUGGGCUUCAGUAUGAGGAUUUCUAAACCUAGCAAAAGUAUCCUAAAACAGCUAGUGGAAGGGGGAGAGUUGUGGGUAAGAACCAGAAGCUAAUAUGAUUGCCAUUCAGGACUAUUUUGUUGUAG
rnacentral:lncRNA from 1 species